AUGAAAGUGCGUUUAUACUUAGCAGUAUCGAGUAGGCGGGACACGUGAAAUCCUGUCGAAGCUGGGGAGACCACUCUCCAACCCUAAAUACUACUACUAGACCGAUAGUGCACAAGUACCGGGAGGGAAAGGUGAAAAGAACUGAGGUGAUCAGAGUGAAAUAGAACCUGAAACCAUUUGCUUACAAUCAUUCAGAGCACGAUUCUUUAUGACGUGUGAUGGACUGCCUUUUGCAUAAUGAGCCUGCGAGUUGUGGUGUCUGGCGAGGUUAAGGAAACCCGGAGCCGUAGCGAAAGCGAGUCUUAAUAGGGCGUAUAGUCAGAUGCUGCAGACCCGAAACGAUGUGAUCUAUCCAUGAGCAGGUUGAAACUGGUGUAAGAGCCAGCGGAGGACCGAACAGACGGCCGUUGAAAAGGCUCCUGAUGACUUGUGGAUAGGGGUGAAAGGCCAAUCAAACAUCGUGAUAGCUGGUUCUCUCCGAAAUAUAUUUAG
rnacentral:rRNA from 1 species